UUUUAGCCGGUCAUGCCAAACACACUAAAAAUAAAUGAAGAAAAAAUUUGAUAGGUAUUUUAGGUUGGGAUAUACAACAGAAACUAUAUUGAGGUAUUGGACGAGACUGGAAAGGUAUAUCAAUUUAUAAUUUUUUGAUAAUAUUAUUGUGAUUAUAUCAUAUAUCAUGGUUAUAUUAAGUGAUUCUUAUUAAAUCAUCUUUUAUUUAUGUUUUCUAUCUAUUGUGUGAAUUGGUUAUUUAGGAUUUAUAAUAAAAAUAAAUCAAUAAAUAUUUUUUUAGGAUUUUAUGUUGAAGUAUUUUGUAGUAGUUAGAAUUGUAAUCUUUUUUUUCUCUUGCUCUUAUCAUAUUUGUUAGCUUCAAACUUCUUGUUGAAGUAAUUUUAUUUUUGAUGUCUUUAGAAGGAGAAUUUUUUUAAUGAUUAAUUUAAGGUUUCACAAACCUUAUAAAAAAUGGGCUAUAAUAAUAAUUAUGCCGAUUUUUGUAUUAUAUAUUUGAAUUAGUUUAUUUUCUAUACAAAAUACAUCAUAACUAAUCAAAAAACUGACUAGGUUUUUCUGUUUGAUAUAGAUUUUGAGAAAUGGACAUAUUUAUUCUAUUUAUCUAUUCCUCAGAACUGGGUGGGAUAAAUCGUUUACGCUGAUGAUUCGUCUAAAUGUUUUGGUGCGAUAGAUUGUUAAUGCCUUCGCCUGUGUGGGAUGGCAACAUUGUUUAUCUGAUUCUUCACAUGUUUGGUUCAUCCGAUUCAUGUUUCAUCUAAAUUUUUUGGUGCAAUGAAUUAGUGUAUUUUAAAAUAUUGAUUUUCACCGUUCCGAAUUAUUGAUCGCAAAGAUAUAUGAGUGUCAAGAUUG
rnacentral:lncRNA from 1 species